rnacentral:lncRNA from 10 species
CUCCCCUCAUCAUCCUCUCCAGUUGGGAGUCGUGUGACAGGAGCAAGAAGCCUGUCUCAGCACAUGUGUAAAAGAGCUAACUCCGGACACCCGUGUCUGAUCUGUGCUGACCCACAAGCGUGAGGUGUCCCACUUGGUGACUGGAAAUGACACCAUCAAUUUUUCUGGCCACUGUGUUGCACCCCUGAGUUUUUCCUUCAUAUGACAGACUUCACAGUAAAUACUCCUACUGAGUCCAAACAACCACUAUGAUUGAGAACAAGCAUGAAUCCGCCACCCACCUUCUCCUGGAAAUAAGGUUACUGGGUUGCUGAACUCCCAUGAACCAAAAAGAAAACAUUAAAUGGUAUCCAAACCAGCCUGGAAGGGACAGCGAGAAAAGCCAGAACCAAGACUGACCAACCUGAAUGCUGGUAAAUGUUAUCAAGAAUCUGGAGCAGGAGGAGCCUCACUCUCCUAUCAAAAGGAGAAGAACCUGAAGAAAACACGUCCCUUCCUUCUCUCUGCGUAGGGGCAGUGACCUUGAAUUCAACCACCAUCAUCCCUUCCAGACACCAGAAGGGGGAGUCCCACAAGGCAGAAGGUGCCCCUGUGACGCGUCCACUUCUCUUCCA